GGUCCUGUAGCUCAGCGGGAGAGCGUCCGCCUCACACGCGGAAGGUCGCUGGUUCGAUCCCAGUCGGGACCACCC
rnacentral:tRNA from 1 species